rnacentral:rRNA from 1 species
UACGACUACAUAUCAGGCAUAUCAAUAAGCGGAGGAAAAGAAACUAACAAGGAUUCCCCUUAGUAACGGCGAGUGAAGCGGGAAGAGCUCAAAUUUGAAAUCUUAAAGGGUUUCCCCUUACGAAUUGUAGUUUAAAGAAGUGUUUUCUGUUGGAGUUUCGGUAAAAGUUCUUUGGAAUAGGACAUCAUAGAGGGUGAGAAUCCCGUAUUUGACCGUUACUUUCCAGCUGUGUGAUACACUUUCAAAGAGUCGGACUGUUUGGGAAUGCAGUCCAAGAUGGGUGGUAAAUUUCAUCUAAAGCUAAAUAUUGGCGAGAGACCGAUAGCGAACAAGUACCGUGAGGGAAAGAUGAAAAGAACUUUGAAAAGAGAGUUAAACAGUACGUGAAAUUGUCAAAAGGGAAGCGUUUGACACCAGUGUUGUUUAGUUGAAAAUCAAUUCAAUAGUUUUUGAUUCUAAGUAGUAUUGACUUCAUCAGCUUGCUGCUUUCUUCUCAGAAAUUAUUGAAUGCACUUUUCAGUUAACAAGUCAACAUCAAUUUCUUUUGUUGUAAAAGGGUAAGAGGAAGGUGGCUUGCGCUUCGGCUCAAGUGUUUAUAGCCUUUUAUCUCUGCAAUCGGAGAGAUUGAGGUCUGCAGCGUAGAUCCUUCGGGGUUAGAUACAUUGGUGCUAAGCUAUAGCCUUGUAUAGACAACUUGUUGACUAUGCUCAGUCAUGUAGCUUACUCGCUGAUGCUAUUUUACCUACGCUUAGGAUGUUGAGUAGCGACAUACGCAC